rnacentral:rRNA from 1 species
UACGAAGGGGGCUAGGCGUUGCUCGGAAUUACUGGGCGUAAAGGGCGCGUAGGCGGAUAUCUAAGUUGGGGGUGAAAUCCCGGGGGCUCAACCUCGGAAUUGCCUUCAAAACUGGAUAUCUUGAGUUCGGGAGAGGUGAGUGGAACUCCGAGUGUAGAGGUGAAAUUCGUAGAUAUUCGGAAGAACACCAGUGGCGAAGGCGGUUCUCUGGGCCUUACCGU